AGCAGGCAUGGCAACGAACU
rnacentral:misc_RNA from 1 species